UACGUAGGCAGCGAGCGUUGUUCGGAGUUACUGGGCGUAAAGAGUGCGUAGGCGGUUUUCUAAGUUUGGUGUGAAAUCUCCCGGCUUAACUGGGAGGGUGCGCCGAAGACUGAAAGGCUUGAGUAUGGGAGAGGUAAGCGGAAUUCCUGGUGUAGCGGUGAAAUGCGUAGAUAUCAGAAGGAACACCUGCGGUGUAGACGGCUUACUGGACCAUCACUGACGCUGAGGCACGAAAGCGUGGGUAGCAAACAGG
rnacentral:rRNA from 1 species